ACUGAAACUGUUUGGUGGACC
rnacentral:piRNA from 1 species